AUUGAACGCUGGCGGCAGGCCUAACACAUGCAAGUCGAACGGUAACAGGAAGAAGCUUGCUUCUUUGCUGACGAGUGGCGGACGGGUGAGUAAUGUCUGGGAAACUGCCUGAUGGAGGGGGAUAACUACUGGAAACGGUAGCUAAUACCGCAUAAUGUCGCAAGACCAAAGAGGGGGACCUUCGGGCCUCUUGCCAUCGGAUGUGCCCAGAUGGGAUUAGCUAGUAGGUGGGGUAACGGCUCACCUAGGCGACGAUCCCUAGCUGGUCUGAGAGGAUGACCAGCCACACUGGAACUGAGACACGGUCCAGACUCCUACGGGAGGCAGCAGUGGGGAAUAUUGCACAAUGGGCGCAAGCCUGAUGCAGCUAUGCCGCGUGUAUGAAGAAGGCCUUCGGGUUGUAAAGUACUCUCAGCGGGGAGGAAGGGAGUAAAGUUAAUACCUUUGCUCAUUGACGUUACCCGCAGAAGAAGCACCGGCUAACUCCGUG
rnacentral:rRNA from 1 species